UCUUGGGACGGGGCUGGGGAUGCCGGGAAGGACCGCGGUCCCAGGCUGGGAUCGGCGGUUGCGCUAGCCCCGCACGCCUGGCACCAUGUCCCGCGUGUUGGUGCCCUGCCACGUGAAGGGCACCGUGGCGCUGCAGGUGGGCGAUGUGCGCACCGCCCAAGGCCGGCCCGGCGUGCUGGUCAUCGACGUCACCUUCCCCUGCGUCGCGCCCUUCGAGCUGCAGGAGAUCACGUUCAAGAAUUACUACACGGCCUUCCUGAGCGUCCGUGUGCGCCAGUACACCUCGAUCCACACGCAGGCCAAGUGGGUGACCUGCCUGCGGGACCACUGCCUCAUGCCGGACCCCCACAGCGAGGAGGGCGCUCAGGAGUAUGUAUCGCUGUCCAAGCACCAGAUGCUGUGUGACGUGGCCCGCGUGCUGGAGCUGCGCCUGAUCCUGAGGCAGCCCUCGCCCCUGUGGCUGUCCUUCACCGUGGAGGAGCUGCAGGUCUACCAGCAGGGGGCGAAGAGCCCCUCCAUGACCUUCCCCAAGUGGCUUUCCCACCCAGCGCCCUGCGAGCAGCCCGCGCCCCUCGCUGAGGGCUUCCCGGACCCCAGCAAGGUGUCCUCGGAGGUGCAGCAGAUGUGGGCGCUGACGGAGAUGGUCCGGGCCAGCCGCACCUCCAGGAGGAUCGGCCGCUUCGAUGUGGAUGGCUGCUACGACCUAAACUUGCUCUCCUAUACCUGAGCCGCUCUUACCCCAGACGCUGACCUUCCGGGCCAACCUUGGGCCGCCAGAGGCCAAAGUGCUUCCCCGCUGCAUUCUGCGUUCCGCCUGCCUGCCUGCGCGUUCUGCCGGGGCCACGUCCACAGUCAGGAUUCUCGGGGCUCACUGCGCGGCUUCAGCCUGAGCGCUGGGUGUGGGGUACACUCUGUCCGCACCUGGCUGCACCCUGAACGCCGUUCCCCGCCCUAACGACACUCCAGUCCCACUAACAAGAGCCCCUGUGUGCCCGGGGCCCCUCCUGCCAGCCCGCUCACUGCUGCCGCUGCCUGCCCCUGCCCUGAGCACUGUGGGCCGGGUGCGCUCCCAGCACCGGCCCGUCCAGCCCUGGGCGACUUCCACAGGAAUGUUCUAGUUUAUCUGAGCCAAACUGACCUCAGGCCAGGAGGCAAGACCUCGGUGCUCUGCACGGCACUCAGCCUCGAAGCCCAGGGGGAAGCGGGAGCCCUGGUGCCCACAAGAGGCCUCCCCUAUCCGAGCACCGGAUAGCCCGGAGCAGAGCUGGCCACGGCCGCAGGAGCCCAGGUCUCUGAGCGGCCUUCGGGUGUGUGUGCACGUGGUCUGCCCCUGGCCUGGGCAGGUGCCUGUGGCAAGGCUGGGGCCUGAGAAUGAGCCCUGGGAUCUGCUUGCCAUCUGACCCAGCCCAGCGUACAUCCUCCUCCUCCUCCCAGCUGCUCCUUCCAGAAGCCUCAAGGCAGCUGCUCCCCGCGUGUGUGUGUGUGUGUGUGUGUGUGUGUGUGUGU